rnacentral:rRNA from 1 species
AAUUGUCCACUCUUUUGAGAGGAGACAGUUAUGAAACGUGAGUAGAAGGGUCGAGUGUAAAAACCUUGACGUGAAGCAAUUGGAGGGCAAGUUUUGGUGCCAGCAGCCGCGGUAAUUCCAACUCCAAGAGUGUCUAUGGUGGAUGCUGCAGUUAAAGGGUCCGUAGUCGUAGAUGCAAUUAAAAGGUGGUGUUAAAAGCCAUUGAGUUUGUUGAGAGUAGCGGAACGGAUAGGGAGCAUGGUAUAGGUGGGCAAAGAAUGAAAUCUCAAGACCCCACCUGGACCAACGGAGGCGAAAGCGAUGCUCUUAGACGUAUCUGGGGAUCAAGGACGAAGGCUAGAGUAUCGAAAGUGAUUAGACACCGCUGUAGUUCUAGCAGUAAACUAUGCCGACAAUGCUGGGUGUUGCGAGAGCGAUGCU